CCUGGAAACCAUGUUUUUUCCUUACCGAACGGGACUUGGCCAUUAAGAUUGGGCCGAAAAAACUGACUCCUCAAUCCGGGAUCCAUGUGCGUGAAGAAAACAAGAUGGCGAGCCAACCCUGACCCUCCUGAAGUAGCAAAGGACCAAGCGCCCUCUGCUGGACACUUGACAACCCUUUUCAUCCUUUGGAACUGGUAGGAACUUUCCUCAUUCCCCUGCAAACAGCAGAGCAUUCUGGACAAUCGAACUCACGAACACUCCUGAGCCGAAGUUGCGAGGAAAGAGAUACAAGUUUGUCUUUGGGUUUUAUUCAGUCUUUUGCUGAAUCACUUUGAGUUAUAUGUAUUUCAUUUUAUUUUUAUUUCCAUUCACAGAAAUACUGUAAAGUAUUAUUGU